rnacentral:rRNA from 1 species
CUACGGGCGCUCCAGUUAAGAAUCUUCUGCAAUGCGCGCAAGCGUGACAGAGCGAGCCAAAGUGCUUUCCAAAUUGGAAAGCUUUUUUCAGAUGUAAAAAGUCUGGAGAAUAAGGACUGGGUAAGACGAGUGCCAGCCGCCGCGGUGAUACUCGCGGUCCAAAUCGCAGCCAUUUUUAUUGAGUCUAAAACAUCCAUAGCUUGCUUAAUAAGUUCCCUGUGAAAUUCUAUGUCUCAAGCAUAGAGCGUGCAGGGAGUACUGUUUAGCUAGAGACUGGAAGACGUAAGAAGUACGUUCGAAGUAGCGGUUAAAUGUUUUAAUCUCGAGCGGACUCACAAUAGCGAAGGCAUCUUACGAGGACAGUUCUGACAGUAAGGGAUGAAGGCCAGGGGCGCAAAACGGAUUAGAUACCCUUGUAGUC